rnacentral:rRNA from 1 species
GGUUAAGCGACUAAGCGUACACGGUGGAUGCCCUGGCAGUCAGAGGCGAUGAAGGACGUGCUAAUCUGCGAUAAGCGUCGGUAAGGUGAUAUGAACCGUUAUAACCGGCGAUUUCCGAAUGGGGAAACCCAGUGUGUUUCGACACACUAUCAUUAACUGAAUCCAUAGGUUAAUGAGGCGAACCGGGGGAACUGAAACAUCUAAGUACCCCGAGGAAAAGAAAUCAACCGAGAUUCCCCCAGUAGCGGCGAGCGAACGGGGAGCAGCCCAGAGCCUGAAUCAGUGUGUGUGUUAGUGGAAGCGUCUGGAAAGGCGCGCGAUACAGGGUGACAGCCCCGUACACAAAAAUGCACAUGCUGUGAGCUCGAUGAGUAGGGCGGGACACGUGGUAUCCUGUCUGAAUAUGGGGGGACCAUCCUCCAAGGCUAAAUACUCCUGACUGACCGAUAGUGAACCAGUACCGUGAGGGAAAGGCGAAAAGAACCCCGGCGAGGGGAGUGAAAAAGAACCUGAAACCGUGUACGUACAAGCAGUGGGAGCACGCUUAGGCGUGUGACUGCGUACCUUUUGUAUAAUGGGUCAGCGACUUAUAUUCUGUAGCAAGGUUAACCGAAUAGGGGAGCCGAAGGGAAACCGAGUCUUAACUGGGCGUUAAGUUGCAGGGUAUAGACCCGAAACCCGGUGAUCUAGCCAUGGGCAGGUUGAAGGUUGGGUAACACUAACUGGAGGACCGAACCGACUAAUGUUGAAAAAUUAGCGGAUGACUUGUGGCUGGGGGUGAAAGGCCAAUCAAACCGGGAGAUAGCUGGUUCUCCCCGAAAGCUAUUUAGGUAGCGCCUCGUGAAUUCAUCUCCGGGGGUAGAGCACUGUUUCGGCAAGGGGGUCAUCCCGACUUACCAACCCGAUGCAAACUGCGAAUACCGGAGAAUGUUAUCACGGGAGACACACGGCGGGUGCUAACGUCCGUCGUGAAGAGGGAAACAACCCAGACCGCCAGCUAAGGUCCCAAAGUCAUGGUUAAGUGGGAAACGAUGUGGGAAGGCCCAGACAGCCAGGAUGUUGGCUUAGAAGCAGCCAUCAUUUAAAGAAAGCGUAAUAGCUCACUGGUCGAGUCGGCCUGCGCGGAAGAUGUAACGGGGCUAAACCAUGCACCGAAGCUGCGGCAGCGACGCUGAUGCGUUGUUGGGUAGGGGAGCGUUCUGUAAGCCUGCGAAGGUGUGCUGUGAGGCAUGCUGGAGGUAUCAGAAGUGCGAAUGCUGACAUAAGUAACGAUAAAGCGGGUGAAAAGCCCGCUCGCCGGAAGACCAAGGGUUCCUGUCCAACGUUAAUCGGGGCAGGGUGAGUCGACCCCUAAGGCGAGGCCGAAAGGCGUAGUCGAUGGGAAACAGGUUAAUAUUCCUGUACUUGGUGUUACUGCGAAGGGGGGACGGAGAAGGCUAUGUUGGCCGGGCGACGGUUGUCCCGGUUUAAGCGUGUAGGCUGGUUUUCCAGGCAAAUCCGGAAAAUCAAGGCUGAGGCGUGAUGACGAGGCACUACGGUGCUGAAGCAACAAAUGCCCUGCUUCCAGGAAAAGCCUCUAAGCAUCAGGUAACAUCAAAUCGUACCCCAAACCGACACAGGUGGUCAGGUAGAGAAUACCAAGGCGCUUGAGAGAACUCGGGUGAAGGAACUAGGCAAAAUGGUGCCGUAACUUCGGGAGAAGGCACGCUGAUAUGUAGGUGAAGUCCCUCGCGGAUGGAGCUGAAAUCAGUCGAAGAUACCAGCUGGCUGCAACUGUUUAUUAAAAACACAGCACUGUGCAAACACGAAAGUGGACGUAUACGGUGUGACGCCUGCCCGGUGCCGGAAGGUUAAUUGAUGGGGUUAGCGCAAGCGAAGCUCUUGAUCGAAGCCCCGGUAAACGGCGGCCGUAACUAUAACGGUCCUAAGGUAGCGAAAUUCCUUGUCGGGUAAGUUCCGACCUGCACGAAUGGCGUAAUGAUGGCCAGGCUGUCUCCACCCGAGACUCAGUGAAAUUGAACUCGCUGUGAAGAUGCAGUGUACCCGCGGCAAGACGGAAAGACCCCGUGAACCUUUACUAUAGCUUGACACUGAACAUUGAGCCUUGAUGUGUAGGAUAGGUGGGAGGCUUUGAAGUGUGGACGCCAGUCUGCAUGGAGCCGACCUUGAAAUACCACCCUUUAAUGUUUGAUGUUCUAACGUUGACCCGUGAUCCGGGUUGCGGACAGUGUCUGGUGGGUAGUUUGACUGGGGCGGUCUCCUCCUAAAGAGUAACGGAGGAGCACGAAGGUUGGCUAAUCCUGGUCGGACAUCAGGAGGUUAGUGCAAUGGCAUAAGCCAGCUUGACUGCGAGCGUGACGGCGCGAGCAGGUGCGAAAGCAGGUCAUAGUGAUCCGGUGGUUCUGAAUGGAAGGGCCAUCGCUCAACGGAUAAAAGGUACUCCGGGGAUAACAGGCUGAUACCGCCCAAGAGUUCAUAUCGACGGCGGUGUUUGGCACCUCGAUGUCGGCUCAUCACAUCCUGGGGCUGAAGUAGGUCCCAAGGGUAUGGCUGUUCGCCAUUUAAAGUGGUACGCGAGCUGGGUUUAGAACGUCGUGAGACAGUUCGGUCCCUAUCUGCCGUGGGCGCUGGAGAAUUGAGGGGGGCUGCUCCUAGUACGAGAGGACCGGAGUGGACGCAUCACUGGUGUUCGGGUUGUCAUGCCAAUGGCACUGCCCGGUAGCUAAAUGCGGAAGAGAUAAGUGCUGAAAGCAUCUAAGCACGAAACUUGCCCCGAGAUGAGUUCUCCCUGACCCUUUAAGGGUCCUGAAGGAACGUUGAAGACGACGACGUUGAUAGGCCGGGUGUGUAAGCGCAGCGAUGCGUUGAGCUAACCGGUACUAAUGAACCGUGAGGCUUAACCUU